rnacentral:rRNA from 1 species
UACAGAGGUCCCAAGCGUUGUUCGGAUUCACUGGGCGUAAAGGGUGCGUAGGCGGCCGGGUAAGUCUGAUGUGAAAUCCCGCAGCUUAACUGCGGAACUGCAUCGGAUACUCUCCGGCUAGAGGAAUGGAGGGGAGACUGGAAUUCUCGGUGUAGCAGUGAAAUGCGUAGAUAUCUGGAGGAACACCGGUGGCGAAGGCGGCAUCCUGGACCGAGAUUGACGCUGAUGCGCGAAAGCCAGGGGAGCAAACGGG